GGGCCUUUAGCUCAGCUGGUUAGAGCAGUGGACUCAUAAUCCAUUGGUCCAAGGUUCAAAUCCUUGAAGGCCCA
rnacentral:tRNA from 1 species